UACGUAGGGGGCAAGCGUUGUCCGGAAUCAUUGGGCGUAAAGAGCGUGUAGGCGGCCCGGGUAAGUCCGCUGUGAAAGUCCAGGGCUCAACCCUGGGAUGCCGGUGGAUACUGUCGGGCUCGAGUCCGGAAGAGGAGUGUGGAAUUCCUGGUGUAGCGGUGAAAUGCGCAGAUAUCAGGAAGAACACCAACGGCGAAGGCAGCUCGCUGGGACGGUACUGACGCUGAGACGCGAAAGCGUGGGGAGCGAACAGG
rnacentral:rRNA from 1 species